CUACGGGAGGCACCAGUGGGGAAUAUUGGACAAUGGGGGAAACCCUGAUCCAGCAAUGCCGCGUGUGUGAAGAAGGCCUGCGGGUUGUAAAGCACUUUCGGUUGGGAGGACUGCUUCUAGCACUAAUAUUGUUGGAAGUUGAUGUUACCUUCAGAAGAAGCACCGGCUAACUCCGUGCCAGCAGCCGCGGUAAUACAGAGGGUGCGAGCGUUAAUCGGAAUUACUGGGCGUAAAGCGCGCGUAGGCGGCUAGAUCAGUCGGGUGUGAAAGCCCCGGGCUUAACCUGGGAACUGCAUCCGAAACUGUCUAGCUUGAGUACAGGAGAGGAGAGUGGAAUUCCACAUGUAGCGGUGAAAUGCGUAGAUAUGUGGAGGAACACCAAUGGCGAAGGCAGCUCUCUGGCCUGAUACUGACGCUGAGGUGCGAAAGCGUGGGGAGCAAACAGGAUUAGAUACCCUCGUAGUC
rnacentral:rRNA from 1 species